rnacentral:rRNA from 1 species
GACGAACGCUGGCGGCGUGCUUAACACAUGCAAGUCGAACGGAAAGGCCCUGCUUUUGUGGGGUGCUCGAGUGGCGAACGGGUGAGUAACACGUGAGUAACCUGCCCUUGACUUUGGGAUAACUUCAGGAAACUGGGGCUAAUACCGGAUAGGAGCUCCUGCUGCAUGGUGGGGGUUGGAAAGUUUCGGCGGUUGGGGAUGGACUCGCGGCUUAUCAGCUUGUUGGUGGGGUAGUGGCUUACCAAGGCUUUGACGGGUAGCCGGCCUGAGAGGGUGACCGGCUACAUUGGGACUGCGAUACGGCCCAGGCUCCUACGGGAGGCAGCAGUGGGGAAUAUUGCACAAUGGGCGGAAGCCUGAUGCAGCAACGCCGCGUGCGGGAUGACGGCCUUCGGGUUGUAAACCGCUUUCGCCUGUGACGAAGCGUGAGUGACGGUAAUGGGUAAAGAAGCACCGGCUAACUACGUG